CAGUAGCCACGGGAAUACGAAGGGGGCUAGCGUUGCUCGGAAUGACUGGGCGUAAAGGGCGCGUAGGCGGCGAUCAAAGUCAGGCGUGAAAUUCCUGGGCUCAACCUGGGGGCUGCGUUUGAUACUUGAUUGCUAGAGUGGGGAAGAGGGUCAUGGAAUUCCCAGUGUAGAGGUGAAAUUCGUAGAUAUUGGGAAGAACACCAGUGGCGAAGGCGGCUCACUGGACCGACACUGACGCUGAGGCGCGAAAGCGUGGGGAGCAAACAGGAUUAGAUACCCCCGUAGUCCCUGUCUCUUAUAC
rnacentral:rRNA from 1 species